AUUGAACGCUGGCGGCAUGCUUUACACAUGCAGGUCGAACGGUAACAGGCCUUCGGGUGCUGACGAGUGGCGAACGGGUGAGUAAUGCAUCGGAACGUACCCAGAGGUGGGGGAUAACGCAGCGAAAGCUGUGCUAAUACCGCAUGUGAUCUGAGGAUGAAAGCGGGGGACCGAGCAGCAAUGUUUGGCCUCGCGCCUUUGGAGCGGCCGAUGUCGGAUUAGCUAGUUGGUGGGGUAAAGGCCUACCAAGGCGACGAUCCGUAGCUGGUCUGAGAGGACGACCAGCCACACUGGGACUGAGACACGGCCCAGACUCCUACGGGAGGCAGCAAUGGGGAAUUUUGGACAAUGGGCGCAAGCCUGAUCCAGCAAUGCCGCGUGCGGGAAGAAGGCCUUCGGGUUGUAAACCGCUUUUGGCAGGAACGAAACGGUGUCCGCUAAUACCGGGCGCUAAUGACGGUACCUGCAGAAUAAGCACCGGCUAACUACGUG
rnacentral:rRNA from 1 species